rnacentral:tRNA from 1 species
GCCACAGUGGUCUAGCGGUUAGAACGCUGGCCUUGUAAUCCUGGGGUCCCGGGUUCAAUUCCCGGUGGUGCUC